GGCAUGUUGCGGGUGACGUGUCCUUCAAGCUGCCUGUCCGUCCUCAAAUGUCUCCCUCAGUGCAGGUCGUGGUCUACUGCGUCCUACCCAGUGAAAUAGUGGUGACUGCAAGCAACACUUUUGCCAUUGAGAAAUGCUUCUCAAAUAAGGUGUCGGUGCAGUUCUGGCCCCCCAGAUCGGUCCCUGGAGAGCAGGGCUCCCUGCAGCUGUCUG